AGUUCUCAUAUCUGGGGAAGGUAAGAACCUUCGACAAGGUUCGCGCCGAGCGUAGCGAGACAACGACGCAAAGC
rnacentral:sRNA from 1 species